rnacentral:rRNA from 1 species
UGCGUAGGCGGUCUCGCAAGUCUGGCGUGAAAGCCCAGGGCUCAGCCCUGGAAGUGCGCUCGAAACGGCGAGGCUGGAGUGCCGGAGGGGAGAGUGGAAUUCCCGGUGUAGCGGUGAAAUGCGUAGAUAUCGGGAGGAAUACCGGUGGCGAAAGCGACUCUCUGGACGGCAACUGACGCUGAGGCACGAAAGCGUGGGGAGCAAACA